rnacentral:rRNA from 1 species
UCCGUAGGCGGUUUAGUAAGUCAGUGGUGAAAGCCCAUCGCUCAACGGUGGAACGGCCAUUGAUACUGCUAGACUUGAAUUAUUAGGAAGUAACUAGAAUAUGUAGUGUAGCGGUGAAAUGCUUAGAUAUUACAUGGAAUACCAAUUGCGAAGGCAGGUUACUACUAAUGGAUUGACGCUGAUGGACGAAAGCGUGGGUAGCGAACAGGAUUAGAUACCCUGGUAGUCCACGCCGUAAACGAUGGAUACUAGCUGUUGGGGGCAACUUCAGUGGCUAAGCGAAAGUGAUAAGUAUCCCACCUGGGGAGUACGUUCGCAAGAAUGAA